rnacentral:rRNA from 1 species
UACGUAGGGUGCGAGCGUUAAUCGGAAUUACUGGGCGUAAAGCGUGCGCAGGCGGUUAUUCAAGACAGAUGUGAAAUCCCCGGGCUCAACCUGGGAACUGCAUUUGUGACUGCAUGGCUGGAGUGCGGCAGAGGGGGAUGGAAUUCCGCGUGUAGCAGUGAAAUGCGUAGAUAUGCGGAGGAACACCGAUGGCGAAGGCAAUCCCCUGGGCCUGCACUGACGCUCAUGCACGAAAGCGUGGGGAGCAAACAGG